rfam:Medicago truncatula strain A17 chromosome 5, whole genome shotgun sequence.
CCGCCGUGUGAUGAUCACAAAGUGAACUAUUCUUUCGCCUUUUACUAAAGAAUACCGUGUUUUCAGACACUUUAUUGUAUGGCUCAGUGUACAGAGGAUUUAUCACAGCAAGAUUGCAGA